AGCAUCCUGUCUAGGCACUUCCCUGGAGCUCUCUGAGAAGGGUCAGAGGUCAGCCCAGUGUAUCUGUCCUUGGAAUCUACAAUUACCUUUGAAAGAAAUCUGUUUCUACCUGGAUGACUAUAUCUCAUAUCUUCAUGCCACUGAACUUCUUGCAUUCAAUCAAGAAAUAUGUAUUGAGCCCCAGCUAUGUGCCAAAUAUUAUUCUAGGACAAAAUAGCAGUGAAGAAGAAUAAAAAGAUCCUGCCUUCAUCGAUCAGAGUUCCUAUAGCAGGAAGGCAAACAAUAAACAAACAAAUACAUGCAUAAGAGGGCAAAUUUAUGUUACUUCUGCCAUGUGCCUGGAAACUCUCAUACCCUGGGAUCACUUUAAUCCAGCUUCAGAGACUAAUGCAAACAAAUAACAAAGAAGGAGGAGGAGAAUCAAUAUGGAUUGGUUCACAGGACCCACAGCAGAGGGACAGCUGGGUCUUUGAGUGAAGAGCU